GAGUGCUGGGGUGUGUGUGUGUGUGUGUGUGUGUGUGUGUGUGUGAGAGAGAGAGAGAGAGACAGAGAGAAAGAGAGAAAAUGAUUACAGAAUGGAUCAGAUACACACUUGGUGGGAGUAUAUAUUGGAACAAAAUCUCUGGAAGAUAAUUUGGCAAUGCUAUUUAAAAAAUGUAAAAUUUUGCAUUCUAAUUCCAGAAACUUAUUCUGAGGGA
rnacentral:lncRNA from 10 species